AUCGGCCAUCUCAUUAGCCUCUCUAUAAACAUAUUGAAAAGAAACAUUCAAGUAAGAGGUGAUAUCCACAACCUCCAUCCAUUUCUCUUGCAGCAUCCGUAGAGAUCUAGUCUCCUUGUUAUAUACGGUGAAUCACCCUCCACAAUACAUGGCACACUCCUAAAGCAUUGUAGAUGAAUGUGAAGUCCCUUAAGUAAAGUUUUCAUCUCCGCAAAUUAUCAGUGUUCAUACCCCAAGAGCAUGCGUACGAUAAUCCCCUAAUAAUUUCAAUUUUGUCUUUUGAGAAUAAUCCCCUUAUUAAUUUUUAGGCGGUUUCUAAAAUUUCAAAUCGAAAAAAAUCUCCCAAAUAGUUCAUUUGAACGAAGGAGUAUAAGUAAACUAUACUCCCACGUACGGGUGGC
rnacentral:lncRNA from 1 species